rnacentral:rRNA from 1 species
GAUGAACGCUGGCGGCGUGCCUAAUACAUGCAAGUCGAGCGAACAGACGAGGAGCUUGCUCCUCUGACGUUAGCGGCGGACGGGUGAGUAACACGUGGAUAGCCUACCUAUAAGACUGGGAUAACUUCGGGAAACCGGAGCUAAUACCGGAUAAUAUAUUGAACCGCAUAGUUCAAUAGUGAAAGACGGUUUUGCUGUCACUUAUAGAUGGAUCCGCGCCGCAUUAGCUAGUUGGUAAGGUAACGGCUUACCAAGGCAACGAUGCGUAGCCGACCUGAGAGGGUGAUCGGCCACACUGGAACUGAGACACGGUCCAGACUCCUACGGGAGGCAGCAGUAGGGAAUCUUCCGCAAUGGGCGAAAGCCUGACGGAGCAACGCCGCGUGAGUGAUGAAGGUCUUCGGAUCGUAAAACUCUGUUAUUAGGGAAGAACAAAUGUGUAAGUAACUAUGCACGUCUUGACGGUACCUAAUCAGAAAGCCACGGCUAACUACGUG